UACGUAGGGCGCAAGCGUUGUCCGGAAUUAUUGGGCGUAAAGAGCUCGUAGGCGGCUUGUCACGUCGGGUGUGAAAGCCCCGGGCUCAACCUGGGAAUUGCAUUCGAGACUGAAUAGCUAGGGUACGGUAGAGGGAAGCGGAAUUUCCGGUGUAGCGGUGAAAUGCGUAGAUAUCGGAAGGAACAUCAGUGGCGAAAGCGGCUUCCUGGACCAGUACCGACGUUCAGGCACGAAAGCGUGGGGAGCAAACAGG
rnacentral:rRNA from 1 species